rnacentral:rRNA from 1 species
AUACGUAGGAGGCGAGCGUUGUCCGGAUUUACUGGGCGUAAAGGGCGAGUAGGCGGUCUGUUAAGUCUCAUGUGAAAUCUCCCGGCUUAACUGGGAGGGGUCAUGGGAAACUGGCAGACUUGAGGGCAGUAGAGGAGAGUGGAAUUCCCGGAGUAGCGGUGAUAUGCGUAGAUACCGGGAGGAACACCCGAGGCGAAGGCGACUCUCUGGGCUGCACCUGACGCUGAGGCGCGAAAGCAUGGGGAGCAAACCGGAGUAGAAACCCCAGUAGUCC